CAGGUCCAGCUGCAGCAGUCUGGGGCUGAGCUGGUGAGGCCUGGGGCCUCAGUGAAGAUUUCCUGCAAGGCUUUUGGCUACACCUUCACAAACCAUCAUAUAAACUGGGUGAAGCAGAGGCCUGGACAGGGCCUGGACUGGAUUGGAUAUAUUAAUCCUUAUAAUGAUUAUACUAGCUACAGAACCAGAAGUUCAAGGGCAAGGCCACAUUGACUGUAGACAAAUCCUCCAGCACAGCCUAUAUGGAGCUUAGCAGCCUGACAUCUGAGGACUCUGCAGUCUAUUACUGUGCAAGA